GAGUUUGAUCCUGGCUCAGAACGAACGCUGGCGGCAGGCUUAACACAUGCAAGUCGAGCGCCCCGCAAGGGGAGCGGCAGACGGGUGAGUAACGCGUGGGAAUCUACCCAAUACUACGGAAUAGCUCCGGGAAACUGGAAUUAAUACCGUAUGUGCCCGACAGGGGAAAGAUUUAUCGGUAUUGGAUGAGCCCGCGUUGGAUUAGCUAGUUGGUGGGGUAAUGGCCCACCAAGGCGACGAUCCAUAGCUGGUCUGAGAGGAUGAUCAGCCACACUGGGACUGAGACACGGCCCAGACUCCUACGGGAGGCAGCAGUGGGGAAUAUUGGACAAUGGGCGAAAGCCUGAUCCAGCCAUGCCGCGUGAGUGAUGAAGGCCUUAGGGUUGUAAAGCUCUUUCAGUGGGGAAGAUAAUGACGGUACCCACAGAAGAAGCCCCGGCUAACUUCGUGCCAGCAGCCGCCGUAAC
rnacentral:rRNA from 1 species